rnacentral:rRNA from 1 species
GAUGAACGCUAGCUACAGGCUUAACACAUGCAAGUCGAGGGGCAGCAUGAUCUUAGCUUGCUAAGGCCGAUGGCGACCGGCGCACGGGUGAGUAACACGUAUCCAACCUGCCGUCUACUCUUGGACAGCCUUCUGAAAGGAGNUUAAUACAAGAUGGCAUCAUGAGUCCGCAUGUUCACAUGAUUUAAAAGGGUAUUUCCCGGGUAAGACGGAUGGGGAUGCGUUCCAUUAGAUAGUAGGCGGGGUAACGGCCCACCUAGUCUUCGAUGGAUAGGGGUUCUGAGAGGAAGGUCCCCCAUAUUGGGAACUGAGACACGGUCCAAACUCCUACGGGA